ACUACUAUUAAAAGAGCUAGAGCGGCAGAUCCAAAUCAUCCCAGCCAUCUAUUCAUCUAUAUCACCGGUUCAGAUUAAGCCUAAAACAUAGUUAGACGCGACUAAUCCCACGCCCGAUCAGAACUGUCAAAAAGAAAAACCCGUCUCUCGCGGAAACAACCGCAUCGUUCGGCGUCGUCGCACUCCUCCCGCAGUCCCGCACGAGGCGAAUUCCCCGCCGAGGCUGCCGCCGCAUCACCGCCGAGGCAGAGCUGCACACGCCGCCGACGCACUGCUCUGGCCGCACAGCACGCCGACCACGCGCCGUCGUCAACAUACUACCCUAGACGCACAGCACGCCGGCAACCGCAUCCCAGGGCACCCCGCAGACCACGUCUUGCCCAACGGGAUUUGGGCAGGGCCCCACGCCGUCGCCUACGCUGCACCUAAUUCCGUCCACCGAGCUCGACCAGGAUUUGGGCAGGGCCCCACGCCGUCACCUCCGCUACACCUUCCGUUCACCCAGCUCAACCGCGUCCAGCUCCUCCAAGGCAUGAUCGGCCGCCUCCUCCACUCCAAACCUUGAAGGUGAAGAUCCUAGGUGGACAUCGUAGUUGCGGCCAGCAAUACCUUAUCUGGCCGGUCUCAGUGCCCUCCCCCAUAUUGGUGCCACUUUCUCCUACUCUCCCUUGCCUUCAUCAGUCAGUGCACACAAUGUUGCCAAGGCAUCAAUGGUAUGUUCUUGUACAAUUGUACUAAUUUAAUCUCAGCAUGCUUAUCUUUCAAACCAAGUCUAUAUAUCUUAGAUUCGUAUAUGCGACGUCUCUGCUUCCCAGGGAGACCUUGGUAGUGAGUACCAGUAUGUUCAUGUGAAAAGGUACAAACCUGAAGAGCAUUCUUUUUAACUUUUAACACGAGUAAGUAUCUGGUUGCCCUAUCACUGACUGUUGUAUCUCGAUUCAUAAUCAAUUCAUCUACAAGAAUGCAGUACCCUGUUUUGCAUGUGGUAAUGUCAUCAAUGACAUGAACCAUCUCAUUGUGAAUUGAUUUGCCAUUCCUAUUUUAUUAAUAAACUGAGAGUUCCAUAGAUCUGCUGGUGCUUGGUUGUGGAGUUUGUUCAUUAACAUAUCCUCCAUCAUUCUCAAGCAACAACUAUUAGUGGAAUUCUAGAUCUGCAAUAUUUAUAUUCCUAUGUAUAUUUGAAGAUUGUAAGAUAUAGAGUGCAAUCUUCAGUUGCGGUGAAAUACAUUGUUUUUAUGCAUGUAAUGAUAACAUGAUUUUAGUUCAUCCCGAUUGACCUUAGCUGGUUCUAAGCCACCAAACGAAGUACAAAUGUUUUGAAUAAUGUAGUAGAUUACUUCCAUGAGCAUUUGUCGGCCUACUUUUCCCAUUAACUUUUCAUAAUUAGAUCUUUUUCGAUAAUUCUGGUUUUAAUGGAACAUAAGUACGACACCCACGCUAGCUAUUUGGGCAGAUUUAUAUUCUUUGUCUUAUGUUCACAUGACUUGAGGCUUUGAAUCUUUAAAAAAUUGAACUACAUGAAGGUGGUGAAUAAAUGAUAAUGCAGUAAAGUGAUCUUGGAUGGAGGAAAGAGCAGGUAGAGUGUUUCAGUUUUCCUGAAUGUAUAUUCAAUUGUUGCUAAGCAUGCCAGUCUUAAAAAAGGAGGUAUGGCUGCAACCAGAUACAUGUGCAUUUUUGUGCUUACGUUUUCGGAAUAUGUACAAUUUUUCAUUGCAGUUUUUCUAUAAUGUAUGAACUACUCUGACAGUAUCUACUUUACGGAUAGUUUAGAAACAUUUGCUUGGAUGCAUCCUUAGACUCACAGUGGCCACAUUUCUUCUGGUGCAAGUUAUAUUUUGCAAUGACGAAAUAUCGAAAUCACCAUUGGGAAACCAAGAGACUAAGCACAAGUUCUUCAUGUGUGCAUUUGAUGUUAGUUAUGAUCAUUCUUGGGUGAUAAUAAUUGUCAAGGGGGAUAAGCAAAAGAUAAGGAGGUGGAACAAAUGGCAAGGGGCAGGUCAACUACGGUAUUGGGUUUGAGCACACUGAUGCUGCGCUUAAAGGUUCUAUACAGUCAGUCAAGUAUGCAGCUUUCCUUUUUAAAGUGAGCUUGGCAAUUAUCACUGAGUAUUUUGUGGGUUUGAUCGCUGGUGUGACUGAGCCCAAUUUUGAUUCUAAUUUUUUCUUCCAGGGUCUUGGAGUGAGUGAAGCAACAUAUAGGCACAACAAGAAGAGGUACAAUACAGGUUACUGAACAAGCUUAAUACUGCAAUUCUGGUAUUAGUAGAUAUGCCUAUAUCUGCAUGUCAUCUUUGCAAAAUAGCUGGUCCGAUUAUUUAGUAUGGUUUGUUUGGAGUUCAGUUCACAACUGAUUAUGAUUCGGUGGGUCAAAUAUUAAAUUUUAGUUCAAUUUAUGAGAUUUUGUUCUUAAAAGUUAGUUUACGAGUUAUUUGCUGCAUAAAAAAUUAAAUAUAUUGGUGACAUGAUUUAAAUGUUAGGGAAGAUCCAUUUGUGUAAAAUUAAAUUCUAAAUGGAACUUUUUGUUAUUACAUGCUACUAAAUAAUACAAUAGGGUGUUGUUCUACAAUUGUAAUAUUCAAUAUGCAGUGUGGCGGCAGCAAUGUUCAUUUUCUUUGUUAAGUCGAUUGGCAUUGUGGAUCUCAUGGUGACCCUGCACACCUCUUGCUGACACUUCUUAAUUUUAUCCUCUUCAAAAAUUACAUAAUUUAUACACAUGUCAUGUCGAGAGGAUUUUUUACUUUGUCAGGCCAAAGACCCACAUCUUAGCAUUAAUUGCUGAUAUAUAAAUUUGGUCAGUGGAGAUGACAUGAUUUUGUUCUUCUUUAAUUAUCUUCAAAUCAGCUAGCUGUGUUUUACAUGUUAGCGGUGUUAAAAAACCAUUUACCAUUCUUGCAAGUAUGGUUCACUCAUCAGUACAGACCAAUGACACAAUGCUACAGUUAAUAAUUGGCCUUUUAUGUAUAGUACUACGAAUUUUAACAAAUUCUUUUGACUCAAAUUAUAGUGUUCACCUUGCCAGUUUAACAUAUGUGCACAUCUUCUUAUUCAUCCAUCGAUUUCUAACGGUGGGCACCUUCCUAUAGGAUUUCAAGUUUUAUAUACUUAUUUACAUGACCUUCAUUUUCUGUGUACCGCUUCCAUAUGAGAAAAGAAUUUCAGGAAUGCCGAUUUCAGUACCAAACCAAACCAAUGUGACUACAGAUUUGCACACUCAUGCUUUCUGUUGUGGAGAUGAAGCUCUCUGACUAGCUAUGAUAUAUAUACUUUACUGUUCCUGGCAUCUUUUAUUGUCUAACCAAUUUUCUUCAUGUGUAAAUUCUUCUUAUAGUGAUAGAUCCUUAGAGUUAAUUUCGUUCAUGUCCAUAAUAUAUGUAAAUCUAUAUCAGCAAUGAAUAGUUUUUUUCAACCCAAUUCUUGAAGUGCAACUUCUUUGUGAAAAAACAUGAUGCAGAUGAAUUUCCGAUGCUCGAGCUUACGGAAAGUUGCAUGCUCGAGGAAGUAGAAUAAAACUUUUAUCUGGCCAGAAUUUGUGCAUAGUGUAUUUUUAAAUCUUAGGUCUUAAAAACUUUUCAGAAUAUGCAAAAUGUAUUUAUUUGAUGGAAGUAGAGGAGUUCCACUGGAGUGUAUUGUUGGCUGAGAAGCCUUAUAUGAUUUUAGUUUGGUUCAAUUAUUACUUGCAUGCAACGCCUGUCAAUGUUGCUGAUAUGGAGGGUGAGCAGACGGCGAAGUAUUGAAGAUUCUCAUCGUGGUUCCUAGGUAGGAGUGCCUUGUUUGAAUCCAACUGCUUUAAAACGGCCUCACCGCGUGGAUGGGGUGAUAAAUUGUAAAUUGUAAUUUCGAAUGAUACUACACAUUUAUAUCAGUAUGUUUUUUUUU